GCCUUGUGAGGCUGUGGGAUAGUUUGCUUCCAUUUCCUGCUCUCUCUGGACCCUUGAACACACACCAUUUGCACUAAAAGCAUGAAGUAAAAUCUGGACCCAACUCUUCACUCUUCCCUGGCAAGCUUUGAUAAGUGCAGUCUGCCUGCUUUUGACUCGUCGCCUCACUGCUGUGGGGAUCCUGGGACACUCCUGCAAUGGCUGAGCUCCUGUCUUCAUGGGCUGUGUUGUCACCAGUAUGCUGAUGACACCCAGCUCUACCUGUUAAUGGAAGACCAGUUAGAUGCUGCCCCGGAAUCUUUGGCCCGGUGUUUGGAUGCAGUGGCAGAAUGGUUGUGUCGCCUGAAGUUGAAUUCCCAGAAGACGGAUGCUCUGUAUCUGGGUCGUGGGGCGACAGAAUUGGGAACCCAGCUCCCAGCCUUCAACGGAGUGCAGUUACAGCCUUCAUCGAUGGUGAAGAGCCUGGGUGUGCUCCUGGAUGCCAAACUUUCUAUGGAGGCCUAGGUUGCAGCCAUUGCCAGAUCUGCAUUUUUUUCAUCUUCAGCAAGUCAGGCAAUUGAUGCCCUAACUCUUGUCCCAGGACCUAGUUUCUGUAAUCCAUGCAACGGUCACCUCUAGAUUGGACUACUGCAUCUUGCUCUAUGCUGGGCUGCCUGUGGUCUUGACCCAGAAAUUUCAGCUGGUCCAGAAUGCAGUGGUAUGCAUCCUUAUGAGUUUAGAGCUCACAUUCACCAUGUGUAAUGCCAGCUGCACUGGCUCCCAGUUGAGUUCCGAGUCCAGUUCAAGGUAUUAGUCUUAGUAUUUAAAGCCCUUCAUGGACUGGAACCUGCAUACCCACAGGGCCACCUCUUCCAUUAUGACCCCUGCAGGGCCUUGUGCUCAGUGGAUAAACAGCUUCUGGUGGUCCUGGGACCGAGGGAUAUUCAGCUGGCCUCAAGCAGGGCCAGAGCCCUGGCCCAGUCCUAGUGAAAUGCUCUCCCAAUAGCGAUCCAGGCCCUGUGGGACCUUUUACAGUUCCACAGAGCCUGCAAGAUGGAGCUGUUCUACUGAUCCUUUGACUGGGGCCAGCUUUUUGUCCCAUCUUCUGACCACCACACCCUCCUUUUGUGGCUGACUGGGAGUUACAUCAAGGCAGUGCCCGUGGUUAUGGGGAUUCAGUAGUAGCCGUAUUUGUUUGGUGGUUCCUGGAUUUUUAUGCUGUUGGUAUAAUUAUGUAUUAAUAUUGAUUUUUAUGCUACUUGUAAUAAUGUUUUAUUGUAUUUUAAUAAUAUAUUUUGUUGGAAGCCUCCCUGAGCCCGCUUGCGGGAAGGGCAGGGUAUAAGUCUAAAUAAAUCAAUAAAUCAAUAGUACACCUAUCCACUGCUGUGGCCACUCAUCCAUCCCCUUUCCUGCUUCUCUAACUGUCCACCCCCAUCCCUUCUCCCAGCUCACAUGGAGUCAGUGAGCAGCAAUGUCUUCUGCUCUUCUUCCCCUGCUGCUUAUAUUGCUUCCAAGGAGAGGUAGCAGUGACUGGGUUUUCUGUGGUGGCAGCAGUGGGGCAGUGGCAGAUCGUAGUCCCCCUCCUCUACUUGCCUGUCUGCCCCCUGGUUGAGGAGGGAUGGUGGUUGCUAAGCUGGCAUCAGCAGCAGUGGGGGGCAGGCACACUGUUGGAUCCUAUUGGUUCCUCCCUCUCCCCUCACUAGUGAAUUCUAUCUGCACAAGGACAAAAUUAUUUCUCUUUGGGGAGAGAAUUUCCUCCUCCAUUUUUGAUAAGUGUAUUUUUCUGCAGGAGGAAUCCAUACCAGUGUUAGGAACUACAUUAUUGUGAGUGAGAAGUUGUUUAAGAUUAGGGGGGGGGGCGUCUCUAGGACAAGAGCCUGCAAUAAACCAAGGUGCCACCUCUGUCCCCAUAUUUACUCCAACAUCAUGAUCACUGGACCUAACAAACCAGCUACACCAUCUCAGGUUCAUUCACUUGUUCAUCUUCCAAUGUGAUAUAUGCUAUCAGGUGUCUGCGAUGCCCUUACACUCUCUGCAUUGGACAAAGAGGUCAGUCUCUGUGCAAAAGAAGAAAUGGACAUAAAUCUAAAAUUAAAAAUCACACCACUCAAAAACUAGGAAGAGAAUAUAUUAAUCCAGGAUGUUCCAUUGCUGACCUAAGAGUGGUAUUUCUCAGAGAGGCUUCAAGGGGGGAUUAUAAUGUGAAAUUGCUGAACUUGCAUUCAUUUACACAUUCAGAACAAUUAAACUCCCAGGGCUGAAUAGAGACAUUGGAUUCUUACCUCUCUACAGCAGAAUUUGAG